ACCUGCCGUCUACUCUUGGCCAGCCUUCUGAAAGGAAGAUUAAUCCAGGAUGGGAUCAUGAGUUCACAUGUCCGCAUGAUUAAAGGUAUUUUCCGGUAGACGAUGGGGAUGCGUUCCAUUAGAUAGUAGGCGGGGUAACGGCCCACCUAGUCAACGAUGGAUAGGGGUUCUGAGAGGAAGGUCCCCCACAUUGGAACUGAGACACGGUCCAAACUCCUACGGGAGGCAGCAGUGAGGAAUAUUGGUCAAUGGGCGAUGGCCUGAACCAGCCAAGUAGCGUGAAGGAUGACCGCCCUAUGGGUUGUAAACUUCUUUUAUAAAGGAAUAAAGUCGGGUAUGCAUACCCGUUUGCAUGUACUUUAUGAAUAAGGAUCGGCUAACUCCGUGCCAGCAGCCGCGGUAAUACGGAGGAUCCGAGCGUUAUCCGGAUUUAUUGGGUUUAAAGGGAGCGUAGAUGGAUGUUUAAGUCAGUUGUGAAAGUUUGCGGCUCAACCGUAAAAUUGCAGUUGAUACUGGAUGUCUUGAGUGCAGUUGAGGCAGGCGGAAUUCGUGGUGUAGCGGUGAAAUGCUUAGAUAUCACGAAGAACUCCGAUUGCGAAGGCAGCCUGCUAAGCUGCAACUGACAUUGAGGCUCGAAAGUGUGGGUAUCAAACAGGAUUAGAUACCCUGGUAGUCCACACGGUAAACGAUGAAUACUCGCUGUUUGCGAUAUACGGCAAGCGGCCAAGCGAAAGCGUUAAGUAUUCCACCUGGGGAGUAC
rnacentral:rRNA from 1 species